rnacentral:rRNA from 1 species
CGUAGGGUGCGAGCGUUAAUCGGAAUUACUGGGCGUAAAGCGUGCGCAGGCGGUUUAGUAAGACAGGCGUGAAAUCCCCGGGCUCAACCUGGGAACUGCGCUUGUGACUGCGAAGCUAGAGUACGGCAGAGGGGGGUGGAAUUCCACGUGUAGCAGUGAAAUGCGUAGAGAUGUGGAGGAACACCAAUGGCGAAGGCAGCCCCCUGGGUCGAUACUGACGCUCAUGCACGAAAGCGUGGGUAGCAAACAGGAUUAGAUACCCUGGUAGUCCACGCCCUAAACGAUGUCAACUAGGUGUUGGGAGGGUAAAACCUUUUAGUACCGGAGCUAACGCGUGAAGUUGACCGCCUGGGGAGUACGGCCGCAAGGUUA